rnacentral:lncRNA from 1 species
AAAAAAAGGGCAAGGAGUGAAGGAUCGCAGUUAUUUUCAAAACAACUCUGUAGUAUCAGGUAGACGUAGUAGUUGAAAGGAGUCCACAUGCAACGUAUGAAACCUUAGUUAACCACAGUUUCUUCUAGUUCUUUGCUCUAAAGCAUUCUGAAUAUUAGAAGUGGAAGAAUUGGAGAAGGAUUCUUCGAUUGAAGUAAGUAGUGAACAUCGCUUCUUCAAUUAGGGCGAGGAGCCAACGAUUUCAGCGUAUUCAAAGUGAUAUGUCAGAUCAGGUUGUUGUGGUAGUAAAAAGGAGUCUAGAUGCAAGUAAUGUAACUAUAGUUGACUCCAGUUUCUUUCAAGUUCUUUUUUCGAAUGUGUUCUGAAAACUAGAAUCGCAAGAACUGCGCAAGAACUGGAGAAAACUGGGAUGCUAGUAAGAAGUAUUAAACAAUGUUUUUUCAUUUAGAACUCGAUUAGAUAGUCAUAGUACUUCAAAAGAGUCCAAAUGCAAUGUAGUGUAACCUUAGUUAACUCAAAGCUGGGAUGUAACUAUGAUUUAAGACCCUUUAAAAUCACAUUAGUCCAAGUAGUCUAAAUGAGUCCAGAUGCAAUGAUGUCACCUUAGUUUGAAAUGUUCUGAAAACUAGCAGAGAAAGAGUUGGCGAAUAGAAUUGCAGUGUAAGUAAGAGUUAUCAAACUGUGCUUUUAUUUGGAAAAGGGGAAGAAGUUUAAGUUGUAUUCAAAGUAAUAUCUGAGGCCAGAUAGUAGUGAAAACGAGUUCAGAUUCAAUGUAUGUUACCUUAUUUAUUCCAACUACUUUUUCCUUUCUUGUGUGUUCUGAAGAGUAUAGAUAAUUGGGGGAUUAAAUGGUAUUAAACUUUGCUACAACUUAGUUAUAUACAGGGAUUAGAACACAUAAUUUAACACAGUUCUAGUGGUAAAUUUAUAUUUUGUAACAGUGAUGGCUCUGAAAUGUCAAUAGAAGGGUAUCGAAGGCCUUUUCUUCUUUGAUUUCUGAAGUUCAAGUUUGAUCUCUCGACAUUGAAAGGCAUGGAAGAGAUGAGAUCAUGAGCUGGAUCUUAAAUUGCAGGCUCUUUCCUAAUCUUAAAAAUAUAAAAGAUACUGAUAAAAAAAAAUUGACAGUAAACUACAUGGAUGAAGCACAUAUAUUUGUAUAUGGAUUCAUCAUCGUGUUUUUUCUUCUGUUUUGACCUUUUAGCAAGUUUGCUUAACAUGUUACUGUUGUUUUAUCAAUAAUUAUAUAAUAUACAUUAUGUGCAGACAGCCAUGCCCCCCAAGGGUUUAAAGGUCAAAGGUGACAAAUGGUCAAUUAGGCUUGAAGCGUCCAAACAUGGGAUUUUUCGUUUGGGACCUUUUGAUGACAUGGAUGAAGCGCAAAAAGUGCACGACUUCAUCGUCCACAAACUCGGACUCGGUAAACGUGCUUCUCCAGUUUACUUAGAGUCCCAGUUGGUGGGUACGAAAGUUCAUAAAUUCUGUGAAGGGAUGAAAGAUGAGAAGUUUAUGAAAUUGCUAAAGAACAAUGAAUUUUAUCCAGCGUAUAUGAACUUUGUGCUGGAUGGUGCUAACAAGGUUGGAAACGUGGUUGGCGCUGAGGACUUUGUGCUGGAUGGUGCUAACAAGGUUGGAAACGUGGUUGGCGCUGAGGACUUUGUGCUGGAUGCUGCAAACAAGGUUGGAGAAGUGGUUGUCACUGAGGACUUCGUGCUGGAUGGUGCAAAAACUCCAACUUGUUCUCAAAAGCAAACAAUUGCUAAACAUGCAAUGUAGGUAAGCAUCCAGUACCCUACACUCCAAUAACGAAUUCAAGUACGAAAAACACCAACUAGUUCUCAAAAGCAAACAAUUGCUAAACAUGCAAUGUAGGUAAGCAUCCAGUACCCUACACUCUAAUAACGAAUUCAAGUACAAAAAACAGCAUAUGACUUAAAAUAGCUAAUAAAAAGCAAACAGUUGCUAAACAUGUAUAUGUUGGUAAGUAUCCACCCUAGACUCUAAUCUGUUAGGACCAUGUAUUGCUCCUUCACUCCAGAAGUCUUGGUUGCCUAUUCUCUAUACAAACCUUCCUCAAUAAUCUUCCAAAAUGGCAAAGAGUUUACUCCCCAUCUCCUCUGCUGAUGAAACAGCCUUUUCAGCUAUUUCUAGAUGUUGCUGCAGGUCUUUCAUCAUUAUUUUCAGUACCAAAAUAUUAUCGGCAUUGGAAACGUGGUUGGCUUCUUCAAUUAGGGCGAGGAGCCAACGAUUUCAGCGUAUUCAAAGUGAUAUGUCAGAUCAGGUUGUUGUGGUAGUAAAAAGGAGUCUAGAUGCAAGUAAUGUAACUAUAGUUGACUCCAGUUUCUUUCAAGUUCUUUUUUCGAAUGUGUUCUGAAAACUAGAAUCGCAAGAACUGCGCAAGAACUGGAGAAAACUGGGAUGCUAGUAAGAAGUAUUAAACAAUGUUUUUUCAUUUAGAACUCGAUUAGAUAGUCAUAGUACUUCAAAAGAGUCCAAAUGCAAUGUAGUGUAACCUUAGUUAACUCAAAGCUGGGAUGUAACUAUGAUUUAAGACCCUUUAAAAUCACAUUAGUCCAAGUAGUCUAAAUGAGUCCAGAUGCAAUGAUGUCACCUUAGUUUGAAAUGUUAUGAAAACUAGCAGAGAAAGAGUUGGCGAAUAGAAUUGGAGUGUAAGUAAGAGUUAUCAAACUGUGCUUUUAUUUGGAAAAGGGGAAGAAGUUUAAGUUGUAUUCAAAGUAAUAUCUGAGGCCAGAUAGUAGUGAAAACGAGUUCAGAUUCAAUGUAUGUUACCUUAUUUAUUCCAACUACUUUUUCCUUUGAAUACGUUGAAAUCGUUGGCUCCUCGCCCUAAUUGAAGAAGCCAACCACGUUUCCAAUGCCGAUAAUAUUUUGGUACUGAAAACAAUGAUGAAAGACCUGCAGCAACAUCUGGAAAUAGCUGAAAAGGUUGUUUCAUCAGCAGAGGAGAUGGGGAGUAAACUCUUUGCCAUUUUGGAAGAUUAUUGAGGAAGGUUUGUAUAGAGAAUAGGCAACCAAGACUUCUGGAGUGAAGGAGCAAUACAUGGUCCUAACAGAUUAGAGUCUAGGGUGGAUACUUACCAACAUAUACAUGUUUAGCAACUGUUUGCUUUUUAUUAGCUAUUUUAAGUCAUAUGCUGUUUUUUGUACUUGAAUUCGUUAUUAGAGUGUAGGGUACUGGAUGCUUACCUACAUUGCAUGUUUAGCAAUUGUUUGCUUUUGAGAACUAGUUGGUGUUUUUCGUACUUGAAUUCGUUAUUGGAGUGUAGGGUACCGGAUGCUUACCUACAUUGCAUGUUUAGCAAUUGUUUGCUUUUGAGAACAAGUUGGAGAUUUUGUUCAUUUUUGCUUUCCAUGUUUAUAUAAUGGAUGAUGCCGGUGGAUGAAAUCGUGUUCCUAGCAUUGCUGGUUAGCUCGGGUUUUUAGCUUGUAAACACAUAUUUAAAAGGGAAAACUUCAAAAACCCCUUAUGUGGUUUCACUUUUUUUCACUUUAGUACUAUGUGGUUAAAAUGUAUCAAGUUAGUAUCCUGUAGUUUCUCACUUUAUCACUUUAGUACUACGUGGUUUAAAGUGUAUCAAAUUAGUACCUUGUGGUUUUGCAUUUUAACACUUUAGUAUCCUGUGGUUUUAAUUUUGUAUAAAGUUUGUACCCUGUGGUUUAAAAAAUCACAGGGUACUAAAGUGAUAAAAUAGAUCACAAGAUACUAACUUGAUACAUUUUAAACCACAGGGUACUAAAGUGAAAAAAGGUGAAACUACAUAGGGUUUUUGAAGCUUCGCUAUUUAAAAUUCAAAAAUAGAAAUACAAUAAUUGCGAAAAUUUUUCUAAUCUUUUGCUUUGUUUGCUACGCAAGUACAAUAGCUGCCUUCAUUGUUUUGAUCUCGUGGAAGAACUAAUAAUUAUGUCAAUGUGGUUACCUAGGCCUCUUACGAGCGACAUUACCUUUUUUUUAUUUAUUUUGUUCUUUUUAGUUGAUAUUUGGGUUCUCGGCCUAACUAGCCUGUUAUUGGUUGGGCCUACGGUGGGCCUGGAUUUAUGGGCCAACUAAAUUUAUCUUACGAUAUCCUUUGUCACGCACAACUUUCGCGAGGAUGAGCGUCGCUGCUGUCAGUGCUGUGUACAUGCAUGUCUCUCAAAAGAUGUCAUUAAAAGCUUUUAAGUGUAUUGAUGCUCCCGAUAAUCCUAUCAUAGAUAUAUAUAAUCUAAGAUAAAAAUUAACUGGAAUGGAGAUAAGAGAUCCAAGUUGUGUCGUUGCUUCCUAUAUAUCAUGAGCUGUGUACAGUUGGAAACAAGUAAUUUAAACUGAAAAAGGCUUCACGCAUUAACAUAAUUAAGUGAAGUUUAAUUAUUUCGAGUAUUAAUUGACCUUAAACAAUAUUUUGGCCAUGCACUUCAUUUAUAACUUUGCUUGUCCUAAUUUCUAGGAAUUGACUUCCAUAAUUAACCGUAUGGAGAAACAUAUUUAACAUAUAGUGUAGAUCUGUUUUGGACCAGCAAGGGCUUCUAAAAGGUAUUAUUUAACUACUAUUUUAGUCCAAAUGUCAGAACUU